CUGGACAAUAAUAAUAUAAGCAUUUGAGCUGGGUUUUACGUUGCGCCCAACAAAGUUGCCCAUCAUUCUAGAAACACACAUUCAAUGGCACUCAUCGUCCAAAUUUUAAUGCUCGCUGCUUGGACGCUGACGGCGACUAUUUGCAACGUUGCAGCAGAUUGCGUGACAGAUCCUGAGUCGAUGCUGUGCAUUUUAGAUCCCGACAUGGGAUGAGCACGAGUUUGUCAUAAUACUUACUAACUUACGCCUGAAGUGUAUAUGAAUAAAUAAAAUAUAAACAAAAAAUGUA